rnacentral:tRNA from 1 species
GGGGCUUAAGUUUAUAAGAAUAUGUGUUUUGCAAAUACAAGGCUCUGGCUCUA